CGAGAUGGGCAAGUGGUUCUACAGAGCCAAACUAACAGAGAGCAACCCCAAGCCCAAACUGUGAAACAUGAUCAUCAUCAAGAAACCCUAAGAUCCCACACCUUUCUUGAGGAUCAAGAAACCGUCUCUUGGUCCAAACUGUGAAACAUGAUCAUCAUCAAGAAACCCUAAGAUCCCAAACAUUUCUUGACGAUCAAGAAACCGUCUCUUGGCUACAAUACCCUCCAUAUGAAGACCAAUUCAUAACCGACGGCUUCUCAUCUCAUUUCUUCUCAACCGGUAAUCCCCUGGAGAGACCAGCCCCA
rnacentral:lncRNA from 1 species